rnacentral:rRNA from 1 species
AUAAUUUAAGACUGGAAUGAAGAGUCGACCUAAAGAAUUUUAUUUUUUUUAUAAUUUACAAAUUUUACUUUUAAGUAAAAAGGCUUAAAUAAAUCUUAAAGACAAGAAGACCCUGUAAAACUUUACAUAUGUAAAUAUUAAAAUUUAAAAAUAUGUUUAACUGGGGCGGUAAAAAAUUAAAACAUUUUUAAAAAAUAAUAAAUAUUAUUAUACCCAGAAUUUCUGAAAAUAAAUCAAGCUACUUCAGGGAUAACAGCGUUAUCCAUUUUAAAAGAUCUUAUUGACAAAUGUGUUUGCGACCUCGAUGUUGGAUUGU